rnacentral:rRNA from 1 species
ACGGGUGAGUAACGCGUGGGAAUCUACCCAUCUCUACGGAAUAACGCAUGGAAACGUGUGCUAAUACCGUAUACGUCCUUCGGGAGAAAGAUUUAUCGGAGAUGGAUGAGCCCGCGUUGGAUUAGCUAGUUGGUGGGGUAAAGGCCUACCAAGGCGACGAUCCAUAGCUGGUCUGAGAGGAUGAUCAGCCACACUGGGACUGAGACACGGCCCAGACUCCUACGGGAGGCAGCAGUGGGGAAUAUUGGACAAUGGGCGCAAGCCUGAUCCAGCCAUGCCGCGUGAGUGAUGAAGGCCCUGGGGUUGUAAAGCUCUUUCACCGGUGAAGAUAAUGACGGUAACCGGAGAAGAAGCCCCGGCUAACUUCGUGCCAGCAGCCGCAGUAAUACGAAGGGGGCUAGCGUUGUUCGGAUUUACUGGGCGUAAAGCGCACGUAGGCGGACUAUUAAGUCAGGGGUGAAAUCCCGGGGCUCAACCCCGGAACUGCCUUUGAUACUGGUAGUCUUGAGUUCGAGAGAGGUGAGUGGAAUUCCGAGUGUAGAGGUGAAAUUCGUAGA